UACAAUCACAUCACGCUGAAAACACCAGUUCCCAUAUGAUCAACAAAGUUAAGCAACUUUGAGCCUAGUCAGUACCUAGAAGGGUGACUGCUUGGA